rnacentral:rRNA from 1 species
UACGGAGGGUGCAAGCGUUGUCCGGAUUUAUUGGGUUUAAAGGGUGCGUGGGCGGUUCUUUAAGUCCGGGGUGAAAGCCCACUGCUCAACAGUGGAACUGCCCUGGAAACUGGAGAACUUGAGUACAGACGAGGGCGGCGGAAUGGAUGGUGUAGCGGUGAAAUGCAUAGAUACCAUCCAGAACACCGAUUGCGUAGGCAGCUUACUAGGCUGUAACUGACGCUCAUGCACGAAAGCGUGGGGAGCAAACAGG